CCAAUAGCGUAUAUUAAAGUUGUUGCAGUUAAAAAGCUCGUAGUUGAAUUUCGGGAUCAGUACGCUGGUCAUGCCUUUGGUAUGCACUGGUGUCACUGGUUUCUCCCUUCUGAAGAACCGUGAUGUCAUUAAUUUGGUGUCGCGGGGAAUCAGGACUGUUACUUUGAAAAAAUUAGAGUGUUUAAAGCAGGCUCACGCUUGAAUACAUUAGCAUGGAAUAAUGAAGUAGGACGUUUGACCCUAUUUUGUUGGUUUCUAGGAUCGACGUAAUGAUUAAUAGGGAUAGUUGGGGGCAUCAGUAUUCAAUUGUCAGAGGUGAAAUUCUUGGAUUUAUUGAAGACUAACUACUGCGAAAGCAUUUGCCAAGGAUGUUUUCAUUAAUCAAGAACGAAAGUUAGGGGAUCGAAGACGAUCAGAUACCGUCGUAGUCUUAACCAUAAACUAUGCCGAUUAGGGAUCGGAUGAUGUUAAUUUUAUAAUGACUCAUUCGGCGCCUUACG
rnacentral:rRNA from 1 species